ensembl:miRNA mir205 microRNA mir-205
AUGUUUUCUGUCCUUCAUUCCACCGGAGUCUGUGCCUGUAUGGAACCAGAUUUCAGUGGUGUGAAGUGUAAAAGACAUG